rnacentral:rRNA from 1 species
AUUGAACGCUGGCGGCAGGCCUAACACAUGCAAGUCGAACGAGUGGCGGACGGGUGAGUAAUAUCUGGGAAACUGCCCGAUGGAGGGGGAUAACUACUGGAAACGGUAGCUAAUACCGCAUACCAUCGGAUGUGCCCCGAUGGGAUUGGCUUGUAGGUGAGGUAACGGCUCACCUAGGCGACGCUCCCUCGCUGGUCUGAGAGGAUGAGCAGCCAAGAUGGAACUGAGACACGGUCCAGAAUCCGACGGGAGGCAGCAGUGGGGAAUAUUGAACAAUGGGCGGAAGCCUGAUGCAGCCAUGCCGCGUGGAGGAAGAAGGCCUUCGGGUUGUAAAGUACGUUCAGCGGGGAGGCGUUACCCGCAGAAGAAGCACCGGCUAACUCCGGGCCAGCAGCCGCGGUAAUUC